UNUGACUUGAGUGCAGAAGGGGAGAGUGGAAUUCCAUGUGUAGCGGUGAAAUGCGUAGAUAUAUGGAGGANCACCAGUGGCGAAAGCGGCUCUCUGNUCUGUCACUGACGCUGAGGCUCGAAAGCGUGGGUAGCGAACAGGAUUAGAUACCCUGGUAGUCCACGCCGUAAACGAUGAGUGCUAGGUGUUAGGCCCUUUCCGGGGCUUAGUGCCGGAGCUAACGCAAUAAGCACUCCGCCUGGGGAGUACGACCGCAAGGUUGAAACUCAAAGGAAUUGACGGGGGCCCGCACAAGCGGUGGAGCAUGUGGUUUAAUUCGAAGCAACGCGAAGAACCUUACCAGGUCUUGACAUCCCGAUGCUAUUCUUAGAGAUAGGAAGUUACUUCGGUACAUCGGAGACAGGUGGUGCAUGGUUGUCGUCAGCUCGUGUCGUGAGAUGUUGGGUUAAGUCCCGCAACGAGCGCAACCCUUAUUGUUAGUUGCCAUCAUUAAGUUGGGCACUCUAGCGAGACUGCCGGUAAUAAACCGGAGGAAGGUGGGGAUGACGUCAAAUCAUCAUGCCCCUUAUGACCUGGGCUACACACGUGCUACAAUGGUCGGUACAACAAGUUGCGAGCCGGUGACGGCAAGCUAAUCUCUGAAAGCCGAUCUCAGUUCGGAUUGGAGGCUGCAACUCGCCUCCAUGAAGUCGGAAUCGCUAGUAAUCGCGGAUCAGCACGCCGCGGUGAAUACGUUCCCGGGCCUUGUACACACCGCCCGUCACACCACGAGAGUUUGUAACACCCGAAGUCGGUGAGGUAACCUUUUAGGG
rnacentral:rRNA from 1 species